AAAGCCUAAACAGUGUACCUGUGAUAUUAUAAGGUUGAAACACUUAUGGAUUUUUGUCGCGGAGCAUUUUUAUUAAUCCUGACGUUUCGGCU